rnacentral:lncRNA from 1 species
UCGCUCUCCACGGUCUCCUCCGCCGCCUCCUCGCCGUCGCCGUCCCCGCGCGACCGAGGCACCACCUCCGUGCCCUUCUCCUGGGAGCACCACCCGGGAAUCCCCAAGACGCGCCUCCCCGCCAUCGCCGUUGCCGGCGCCAAGGUGGCCUCCUCUGCUCCGCCGCUCCCACUCCCGCCGCCCCUCCGCGCGCCGCCGUCCCGGCCCCGGAACCACCACCACCAUCAGACCCGCCGGCG